UGCCUAACUAGCUAAUUAAAUAUUACAUUUAUUUUAUAUAAUAUGGCAGCUGUUACAUAAGAUCACUAUAUAUAUUCUCUAUAUACAUACAUUUAUAUGUGGCCUAUACAAAGACGUAAUAUCCUUCAUCAUCUCCAAAGGCGACACAUUUGAGUUCUUGACAAAUAGAUUCUGGGAUUAACAUUGCUUGAUCAUCAUCAGGUUUGAGAUCAUAUAUAUAUAUAUCUGUAUAUAUAUAUAAUAUAGCAUGACUUUACAUACGAGUGAAGUUAUAAAUAUAUAUGCACUGAACAAAUAAUAAUAAUAAUUUCUGCAAAAUGUUUACCAAAUUCUAACCAUAUAUUAUAGUAUGAAUAUAAACUUAGUUUAGUUGUGUAUUUGUAGAUUUCAGUUUCUAACCAUUGUAUUGUAAAAAGUUGUAAAUUUUAUUUAGAGAAAAAUAAAGUUUGUAUUUUCUACUUCAUUAAUCUUUAUAAUUUUCUGUCAAACCUAUAAAUUCCUAUUAGGAGCUACCCAAAAAAAAAAAAAAACUACCUUUAACGACAAUUUUUUAAUUAUAGAAUAAAAAAAGUUAAUAAAAUAAAAUUUUAAAACGUUUGUCUAAAUUAUGUAUAUUUGAACUUUUCAAUUAAAAUGACACAUAUACACUUAAGAGAAUAAACAGAAUAUUACCGUAGAAUCACUUAACAUCAUCGUUAAUACGCUGCCUCUCUUACAUUUUAAAUUUUUACAUAUCUAUGAUAUAGAUGUUUCUAGAAUACAUUCCCUAAAAUAAGUGUUUCUAUCAAAAUUGUUUUCAUUGAUUUUAUUUUAUUUUUUUUUGACAAAAUAGUGUUUAUUGUAUUUAAAAUCAGCCAUAAAUUUUUAAAAAGUUUAAAAUAAUUUUUAUUAUAGAAAGAAGUACGCAUGCUAAUGUCUAUUGGAAUUUUAUUUUUGUCACCGUAAAUUAUUUUAAAUUUUUUAAAACUUUACAAAAUGUUUAAAAUAUAUAUGUUAGUUAUAAUAAUUUUCCAUUUCAAGCAAAAUCUAAGUGAAUUAAUAUAAGAUACUUGCUAGAAAAAUAAUAAUUGGAAAAUGUAUAAUUUUGUCUAAAUAAUAGUUUUCUAUUUUCAGUAGCCCAUCACUUAAUAACUACAAAGUUAAGCGUAUUUAACCUAGAAGAUGUCUAACCUCUUCAAAAGUUUUCACAGGAAGCUCGCCCAUGGAAACUUGAAGCAGAGGCAUCAUACCAUUGAGAUUAAGGCUAUAUAUAUAUAUAUAUAUAUAUAUAUUUAAUUUGUAUCUUUUAGAAAAUUAUAAAAUUUGAAUUGAUAUUUAACAAAAUAAAAUGUUCAAUCGGUAAUUUUUACAAAAUAUGUAAGAUCUAAACUAGUAUUUACUCAAAAAAUAAUGAUAACAAAAUUAUUGAACAUCAUAUUAAUAUUUUUCUGUUUUUGUAGUGUAUAUAAUUGUGUUAUUCAUAAUUAAAAACCCUUAUAUUUAUUUCAAUUCAAAAUAUAAUACUCAAAAAAUUAAAAAUUAAAAAAAAAAAGAGAAAAAAAAAAGAUCAAAACUGAAUGUCGAGUGUGGUGCUCAAGUUCAUGAAAGCUUCUAAUGUUUGAUUCUUGUUUUAAACUUAUAUUAUUAAUGAUAUUUUAUUUACUUCUAUUGAUCAUUUGUUGUAUUGUCCUAAAAUAUAAUAUAGUUAAUGUGGUUUUUGGAGUUUAUAUUUCCAAAAAAAAAAAAAAAGUUGUGCAUCAUGCAUGAUGCUAACUUACUUAUUAAAUUAAUUUAUAUAACAAAUAAUGAAUAUUAUCUUCUUUGUAUUGCAUUAUAAUUUAGGACGUUGAUCAAUUCCAUAUUCAUAGUACGUAAGAGAAUACGAAAUAAGGGUUGACAAAGGGAAUAAUUAAAAAAAUUUACAUGCCACCCCACAUAUAUAAUUAUAUAUAAUAAUGUACAUAAUCAAAGAUAAACAUGUAUAUAGAUGAAAUGAAAUUGAAAGUGAAAGGAUAGUUGACAUUAAUAUAUUCUAAAGUGAAAGGAUACUCUUCAUAUAUAUAUAUAUAUAUAUAUAAGAUAUAAUUGUAAUGAUAAUAUAAGAUAAUUUAGCUUGCUGUAAUAAUUAAACAUAAUAAAAUAAUAUAAUUCUCUGUAUGACUAAUUUAAUUAAUUAAUGUAGAAAAUGUAAAUAGAGAAAAAGAAAUAUUGAGGGGCUGAAGGUAAAUUUGAUGGCACCGGAAACUCAAUACUGAUCCCAAACAAGGUAAUCAAACCACAUAUAUAUAUACUCUUUAAAUUCUAAAACAACAAAAAAAAAAUAUAACACUAAAAGUCUAAAAAUCAUGAUGUAUGAAACGGCAAAAGAGAUGAAGAUGGUGGAGAAGGUUGGGAUUGGUAAUCCCAAUAUUUUGGUUACCAAAGGUUUUAAGUCAGUUAAAGGCAUUUUUUUAAGGGCUGCUAACAAUAUCAACUCCUUCUUUACUAAGUCAGACUUUUCACCAACUGAUCUGCUGGCCGAGUUUGAUCAUGAUCGUGAUGAUGUUGAUCAGAUGAAUCUUCACAUGUUUGUUUUAUCUGACGACGAGUACUAUAAGAUAAGCAAAUACCCGAUUUUGAUGAUGAUAUUAGGGUAUUUGUUUAUUUUAGGAGGCUUUCAUGGAAUUAUUUUUAGUUUUCUGUGGGAGAAAAAAAUUCUUUUAGGAUUUUCAAUUUUUACGUUUGUGUCCUCUGUAGCUCUACUUUUAUAUUAUAGCUUUUUCAGAAAUUAAUAUAACCUUUAGCUAUCGAUCUCUACAUUAAUGAAUGAGUCCUAUAUAUUUAGAUAAGUGAGAAUUUGCAAUUGGGAUCAGUAGAUCGAGUUCACAAUCAUAGUUUCUUGUUUCGUGUAAUAAUUUUGAUGGAUGUGAUCCAUAUGUUAUUAAUAUAUAGAAGUAGUUAUUAUUUUU